UAUAACAAAGAUAUCCUGGCUUUAAAAUAUUCAUCUACGGGCAUUGGAGACGAUUCCUCGAGAGGCGACUGGGUAAGCUGUACUCGAAGCCCUAGGAAACCUCGGCCUCCUUCUCUUCUUCUUCCUCGUCGGCCUCCUUCUAUUCUUCUUCCUCGUCGGCCUCCUUAUCUUCUUCUAUUCUUCUUUCUCUAAACUCUCUGAUUUUCGAUUUAUCUCUUCAUAUUCAUGCUAAGAACUGAUAGAUCUGUGCUGUGGUUGUCGAAAUCUGAUAGAUUAAGGUUCUCUGAUUUUGUUGCUGUGUUUAAACUCUUCAUAUACUUGCUGUCGAUUUGCUGUUAAAAAAUAUCUGAUUUGUUUUGACUAAGAUCGAUCUGUUUCUAUUGUGUUGAAUCUGAUUUUUUUUUUCUAUUUUGGUUAUUGAAUCUAAGUCUGAGACAAAAAUCGAAAUUUCUCUCUGUUCUCACAAGUCUGAUUUGUUUAAUCUGUUCUGUAUUGCUCAAGUUUUGAUUUAUACUUGUCUUUGGUUGAAUUCGAAAUUGAUCUGAGAAGUGUGGAUUUGAUUUUCGUUUUGAUCUGUUUCUGUUAAAGUCUGAGAUUGAUCGCUUCUUUUCUAUUGUUUAUGUUUCUGAUUAUCAACUUGUUUCUAAUUAUCAAUCUGAUUUACUAAUAUUUGAAUUUCGUUUCGAGUUUGUCUCUGUUGGCAAGUUGAUUGUUUGUUUUCUUUUGAACUUCUUACUGCUGUGUGUUUCUGUAUGAUCCCUACUUCGCAAUCACAUCCACAGGAAAACUUGCUUUUUGUUGCUCAAGAAAAUCUGAAAGUCUGGUUUUGGAUUCAGCGCCUCGUCCCAACAAGUAAUGGCCAGAACAGAAGCUUGUGAAGGAUGGUUUCAUCAUCAGGAAGCCAACCAAGAUCCACUGUCCUGAAGAAAUACCGAGA